rnacentral:rRNA from 1 species
GAUCAUGGCUCAGGAUGAACGCUGGCGGCGUGCUUAACACAUGCAAGUCGAACGAAGCACUUUAAUUGAUUUCUUUCGGAAUGAAGUUUUUGUUGACUGAGUGGCGGACGGGUGGAGUAACGCGUGGGUAACCGUGCCUCAUACAGGGGGAGUAACAGUUGGAAACGAACUGCUAAUACCGCAUAAGCGCACGGGAGUUGCAUGAUCCAGUGUGAAAAACUACCGGUGGUAUGAGAUGGACCCGCCGU